GGGGGUACAGCUUAGUGGUAGAGUGCACGCCUAGCAUGCAUGAGUCCUGGGUUCAAUCCCCAGGACUGCCA
rnacentral:tRNA from 1 species